GAUGAACGCUGGCGGCGCGCCUAAUACAUGCAAGUCGAGCGAACGGACGAGAAGCUUGCUUCUCUGAUGUUAGCGGCGGACGGGUGAGUAACACGUGGAUAACCUACCUAUAAGACUGGGAUAACUUCGGGAAACCGGAGCUAAUACCGGAUAAUAUUUUGAACCGCAUGGUUCAAAAGUGAAAGACGGUCUUGCUGUCACUUAUAGAUGGAUCCGCGCUGCAUUAGCUAGUUGGUAAGGUAACGGCUUACCAAGGCAACGAUGCAUAGCCGACCUGAGAGGGUUAUCGGCCACACUGGAACUGAGACACGGUCCAGACUCCUACGGGAGGCAGCAGUAGGGAAUCUUCCGCAAUGGGCGAAAGCCUGACGGAGCAACGCCGCGUGAGUGAUGAAGGUCUUCGGAUCGUAAAACUCUGUUAUUAGGGAAGAACAUAUGUGUAAGUAACUGUGCACAUCUUGACGGUACCUAAUCAGAAAGCCACGGCUAACUACGUG
rnacentral:rRNA from 1 species